GGGUCUCUAGCCGAGUUGGUUAGGUGGUAUGAGUAGCACUCUUUAGGUCCUGAGUUCAAAUCACAGUAGGAGCA
rnacentral:tRNA from 7 species